rnacentral:tRNA from 1 species
GCCGCAUUCGUCUAGUGGUUAGGACAUCGGCUUUUCAAGCCGGUAACAGGGGUUCGAUUCCCCUAUGCGGUG